rnacentral:rRNA from 1 species
GAUGAACGCUGGCGGCGUGCCUAAUACAUGCAAGUCGAGCGAACAGACGAGGAGCUUGCUCCUCUGACGUUAGCGGCGGACGGGUGAGUAACACGUGGAUAACCUACCUAUAAGACUGGGAUAACUUCGGGAAACCGGAGCUAAUACCGGAUAAUAUAUUGAACCGCAUGGUUCAAUAGCGAAAGACGGUUUUGCUGUCACUUAUAGAUGGAUCCGCGCCGCAUUAGCUAGUUGGUAAGGUAACGGCUUACCAAGGCGACGAUGCGUAGCCGACCUGAGAGGGUGAUCGGCCACAAUGGAACUGAGACACGGUCCAGACUCCUACGGGAGGCAGCAGUAGGGAAUCUUCCGCAAUGGGCGAAAGCCUGACGGAGCAACGCCGCGUGAGUGAUGAAGGUCUUCGGAUCGUAAAACUCUGUUAUUAGGGAAGAACAAAUGUGUAAGUAACGAUGCACGUCUUGACGGUACCUAAGCAGAAAGCCACGGCUAACUACGU